rnacentral:rRNA from 1 species
AAGAGUGGUUAAGAUUCAAUUAAAACUAAAGCCAAACGACUUCAAAGCUGUUAUACGCACAUGAAGACAUGAGACCCAACCACGAAAGUGGCUUUAAACUUCUGACUCCACGAAAGCUAUGGAACAAACUGGGAUUAGAUACCCCACUAUGCCUAGCCAUAAACAUAGAUAAUCACGUACUUUUUUAUCCGCCUGGGUACUACGAGCAUCAGCUUAAAACCCAAAGGACUUGGCGGUGCUUUAGAUCCACCUAGAGGAGCCUGUUCUAGAACCGAUAAUCCCCGUUAAACCUCACCUUUCCUUGCCUAGUCCGCCUAUAUACCGCCGUCGUCAGCUUACUCUGUGAAGAGUUUGUAGUAAGCACAAUCGGCACAGCCCAAAACGUCAGGUCGAGGUGUAGCGUAUGGAAAGGGAAGAAAUGGGCUACAUUCAAUAACAAUAGUGAACACGAAUAGUAUCUUGAAAGAGAUAGUUGAAGGAGGAUUUAGUAGUAAACAGGGAAUAGAGCGCCCUGCUGAAACCGGCCCUGAAGCGCGCACACACCGCCCGUCACUCUCCCCAAGCUAA